rnacentral:tRNA from 3 species
GGAGAGGUAUCGAAGUGGUCAUAACGAGGCGGUCUUGAAAACCGUUUGGGUUCACGCCCGCGUGGGUUCGAAUCCCACCCUCUCCGCCA